GGUCAAUAUGCCAAAGGUUCGGUACGGUUUGGAAAAGGAACAGCAACACAGCAUUCCGCCGCGCCGCCGAAAUCGCCAUGGCUCCUCCCGCCUCCCGCCCGCCGACGCCGACGCCGACGCCGACGGCGAAUGCGGCGGCCUCCUCGUCGCGGAUAGAGUCGCCGUCGCUCAGGGCGGCCCUCGCCAUGGCUCUCAUCCACUACAACCGCCUCCCCUCUCGAGCAGCAGCAGCCGCUGCCCCCUCUCCCCAGGCUCUCCUCAACUGGAAGCGCAAGGCCAAGGACCGGAAGCGCGAGAUCCUCCGCCUCCGCGAGGAGCUCAAGCUCCUCCAAGACGGGGCGCGCGGGGAGGAGAUGGAGCCGCCGGUCGCGUCGUGCCGAUGCCACUUCUUCGACGGGUGCGGGGACCUUCCACCGCCGACGGACGGCGAUGCUGGGGAGCACUGGGUCGACGACGUGCUGCGGAGGAGAUUCGUCAGAUUGGUGCGGUGGAAGGAUAAGCGCAGGAGACUGGACAGAUCACUGCCCACGAGUAGUUUGAUGGAAUAUAACACUGAGGAUGAGGUACAACAGCUUAGCUUGUCGAUUGAUUUCCUGGUGGAGUUAUCAGAUGGCUUGUUUGCCAAAAGAGAAGCUGGCUCCUCAUUUACUACAUUUUCUCACCAGGCAGUAGACUUCAUUCUGGCUUCACUGAAGAACAUUCUCUCGUCAGAAAGGGAAAAGGAGAUAAUCGAGGAGAUAAUCAAUGGUUUGGUUGCACGUUUGAUGAAAAGGAUGUGCACCACUCCUGAAAAUGCUGGAUCAGUUGACUGUUCAGAUGCCCAAUUCUCCCUGCAGCACUUAUUCCGUAAGUUAGGAAAUGAGGAGUUUGUUGGUCAGAGGAUAAUCCUUGCAAUUUCUCAAAAGAUCUCAAAUGUAUCAGAAAAAUUACUUCUGGCAGAUCCAUUUGAUGAUGGUUUCCCUGAAAUGCAUAGCAAUAUGUUUAUUAUGAUACAAUUAAUCGAGUUCCUAAUAUCUGACAGCUUCAACAAUUGGCUAUGCCGUGAUCAUUUUGACAGAAAACUUUUUGAAGAAUGGGUCAGAUCUAUUCUCAAGGCACGAAAGGACUUGGAAGUCCUAGAUGGGAGAAACGGACUGUAUGUGGUAUACAUUGAGCGAGUGAUUGGAAGAUUGGCAAGGGAGGUAGCUCCUGCUGCUCAUCAGGGGAAGCUGGACCUAGAAGUCCUCUCCAAACUCCUUUACUGAGAACAUGCUGCCUCUGACUCGCCAAUAUUUUCAGGAUGACUAGCUAAGGGAAGAUGAUGUAGCAAGAAGGUGUUUUGUUCUCCUUUGAAUGGCUGGGAAACCAACUACCGAAGCAUGCUCAAAAGUCCUUUUCAGGUAGGCCAAUACCAUCCAGCAUCUGGCAUCUGCUCCAAUCAACAAGUGACGUGCACCGCCGUUUCAGAGCCUAAAUCCGGCCUUCUUCCUCAACGGUGCACGUUACUGGAAAGGUUAACUCGUUGUCAUGUCAGGCUAAUAGAGGAUGGGUGAAAGCAUAACCAGUUUCAAGAAUCAAUAUCAGCUUUCAUUUCAAGUACUCCCUGGAGUUACAGAGGUGGUUUCUAUGAGCCCUAAAGUAAGACCAUCUUCAGAAUUUAUGGACUUCCGUGGCAAUCGCUCGACAGCGAGAUGCUUUGCCUCACUGUUAGCUUGAUCGGGAUCGAUUCACCUCACAGGCAGUCCAAACAGCUAUACAUGAAGAAUUCUGAAAAUAAUAGAAGGAAACAUAAGAUCAAAUUCGAUCUGCGUAUCAAGAUCGCUGCACAGCUUGAACUUGCAGGCACAGUAUGCACAAACAGGUUGUACCGGGCAUGGAGGAGUGGUUCAUACUGGACAGCAUUGUGCAGAUAGAUUUGAGGAGUAGUAGGAGUAUGCAAGAGGAAUCUUGAGACCUACUCCUACAUGCAGCUCAGCUCUCUGGAUGUACUCCUACACAGUGAGAAGCAAGCUGAUCAAUGUGUGGACAAACAGUGUGGAGGCAUGCUGCAUGGGUCCGGAUGAGAUCUGCAUCGAUCGACAACUUCGAGGCCGAUAGAUAGCAAAAACUAUCUCAAGAUAUUAGCCUUCUAAACUCUUCGCGAUCGAUUCUCAUCAUCAGUCUCCACCAAACUAGCUGGGAUAGUACCAAAUACUCAAUUAGCAAUUUAGCAUCAGAUCAAAGUGGCCCAAAAUCACCUACUAGAUGAUGCACAGGGGGCGAAGGCAGUGGACUGGGGGAGGCAGGGUAUGUGUGGGCCGCCAACCCCCUGCCUCCUAUGGGCCGUCACAGUUGGGGCUGAACGGGACGACCAGAAUGGAAUUGUGACUGACAGGAGGGCCAGACCAGAACAUAAUUGUGAUUUUUUUUUAUAGAUGGGCAAUAAAUAAUAUUUCUUCCGUUUCACAAUGUAAGUCAUUCUAGCAUUUCCCACAUUAAUAUUAAUGUUAAUGAAUAUAGAAUAUGAAUGUAAAUGUGAAAUUCAUUAACAUCAAAACGGAGGGAGUAUUGUCCAGUUAGACACA